UCGAGCCCCACGUGGGGCUCUGGACUGACAUCAUGGUGCCUGCUUGGGAUUCUCUCUCUCCCUCUCUCUCUGCCCUUCC